rnacentral:rRNA from 1 species
UACGGAGGAUGCAAGCGUUACCCGGAAUGAUUGGGCGUAAAGCGUCCGCAGGUGGCUAUGUAAGUCUGCUGUUAAAGAGUCUAGCUCAACUAGAUAAGAGCAGUGGAAACUACAAGGCUAGAGUACGUUCGGGGCAGAGGGAAUUCCUGGUGUAGCGGUGAAAUGCGUAGAGAUCAGGAAGAACACCAGUGGCGAAGGCGCUCUGCUAGGCCGUAACUGACACUGAGGGACGAAAGCUAGGGGAGCGAAUGGG